rnacentral:lncRNA from 1 species
AUGGGUGCAUAAGAAAUUUUGUUAGGAGUCCGUGAUACUUAAUUGCUUUUCAAAAUAUCAAAGUUUCUGUAAAUUUUUUUUGAAAAUAUUUGAAUUUUUUCUUCGCGGAGCAUCAUUAUGGAAGUUUUCUAUGGGCGAAUCAGACGGAUGUUUUCUAUUCUCUUCGCUAUUUUUUUUUUCUAACUUUAUUGGUUGUACUUAUAUUGGUAUGCUGUGAAGAUCGGUAUGCCAAAAAAAAAUGAAUUUUGAAAUUAGGAGUUGCAUAUCAAAAAAAAAGGAGAGAGAAAAUUGGCUUAAAAAAAAUAUCACUUGAAAUUAGUUAAUUAAACUAAAUUGAUAUGUCAAAUAAUGGUAUUUGUU